rnacentral:rRNA from 1 species
GAUGAACGCUAGCGGCAGGCCUAAUACAUGCAAGUCGAGGGGUAUGGGUUGCUUGCAACCCUGAGACCGGCGCACGGGUGCGUAACGCGUAUGCAAUCUACCUUAAUCAGGGGGGUAGCCCGGAGAAAUCCGGAUUAACACCGCAUAACAGUGAGUUUUGGCAUCACAGUUGACUCAAAUAUUUAUAGGAUUAAGAUGAGCAUGCGUGCCAUUAGUUAGUUGGUGAGGUAACGGCUCACCAAGACCACGAUGUCUAGGGGAUCUGAGAGGAUGAACCACCACGAUGGAACUGCGACACGGACCAGAAUACUACGGGAGGCAGCAGUAAGGAAGAUUGGGCAGUGAGCGCAAGCCUGAACCAGCCAUGCCGCGUGCAGGAAGACGGCCCUAUGGGUUGUAAACUGCUUUUGUACCGGAAUAAACCUUCUCUUGCGAGAGAAGCUGAACGUACGGUAAGAAUAAGGAUCGGCUAACUCCGUG